UUGCAUGAUUUUAAAACGUUUUUUAGCUUAACGAGUCGGAGAGAGUGAUUUAUUUACUAAAUGACCCCAUGAAAAUUCACUAGCCAGUCGGGCCAGUGACUGUAGAGUUCCUGGCCACAGG